rnacentral:rRNA from 1 species
CAGCCGCCACGGUAAUACGUAGGUGGCAAGCGUUGUCCGGAAUUAUUGGGCGCAAAGCGCGCGCAGGUGGUUUAAUAAGUCUGAUGUGAAAGUCCACGGCUCAACCGUGGAGGGUCAUUGGAAACUGUUAAACUUGAGUGCAGGAGAGAAAAGUGGAAUUCCUAGUGUAGCGGUGAAAUGCGUAGAGAUUAGGAGGAACACCAGUGGCGAAGGCGGCUUUUUGGCCUGUAACUGACACUGAGGCGCGAAAGCGUGGGGAGCAAACAGGAUUAGAUACCCCCGUAGUCCCUGUCUCUUAUAC